rnacentral:rRNA from 1 species
AGCGAACGCUGGCGGCAGUCCUAACACAUGCAAGUCGAACGAACCUUUCGGGGUUAGUGGCGGACGGGUGAGUAACACGUGGGAACGUGCCUUUAGGUUCGGAAUAACUCAGGGAAACUUGUGCUAAUACCGAAUGUGCCCUUCGGGGGAAAGAUUUAUCGCCUUUAGAGCGGCCCGCGUCUGAUUAGCUAGUUGGUUGAGGUAAUGGCUCACCAAGGCGACGAUCAGUAGCUGGUCUGAGAGGAUGAUCAGCCACAUUGGGACUGAGACACGGCCCAAACUCCUACGGGAGGCAGCAGUGGGGAAUCUUGCGCAAUGGGCGAAAGCCUGACGCAGCCAUGCCGCGUGAAUGAUGAAGGUCUUAGGAUUGUAAAAUUCUUUCACCGGGGACGAUAAUGACGGUACCCGGAGAAGAAGCCCUGGCUAACUUCGUG